rnacentral:lncRNA from 10 species
GCGCUCGCUACCGCUCCCGGCCCCGGCGGUUCUCCACGCCGCGCCCCCUCACUUAGCCCGCCUUCCUCGGCCUCUGGCCCUGGCGUGGGGCGCAGGAGCGGUCCAGGCGGGCGCGGGACGCCGGGCGCCGAGCAGCUCGGGAGGGCGCGGGCAGGGACAGUAGCGGGGGGGCAGGGGGCUGGGUGUCAGGGACGCCGAAGCCCCGGUAGUCGAAAGUCCCGUUUUAAGGACUGGCCUGAUAGAUUACUUUCUACUUAAAGAUCCAGCGGGAGGCGGGGCCACGUGACCGUGCGUGACGUCAGGGCCGCGGCCGAGCCGGCCAAACUCAAGUUGGUUCAGGGAAUUGUCAACAAAGGGACGAGAGACGCGCAACUCCGCUCCGCACUGUGCGCCAGCAUCCCCGGGGCACGGAGGGCGCUGCGGCCCGCCCGGAGACCCCCCCACCCAGGCUGGAUCCGGGCCCUGGGGCCCAGGGAGCGGGUGGGUGUGAGUGUGGGUGGGUGUGAGCGAGUCAGGGCGUGGGCCUGGGAGCGUCCGCGGGACUGUGCGACUGUCGCUGCCCUGCCUUCCCCGCCCCCUCUCCCUUCCGCCCUUCUCCCCCCCACUUUGUCACACUCCUUAGACAGGGACUGGGCGACCUAGAACGAGGUUCCCAUAUCGUGUUUUAAAAAGCAAAACUUAGUCUCUGUUUUGCUUUUUGUUUCAUUGUUUUUAGCUUUAAAGAGUAAGAGCAGCGCACCCGGCUCCCUCCUGCUAAUUAGAUUUCAGAUUCCCCUCUGGCCUCAGUGCUCAUUCCGGGGAAGACACCUGCUGAGAUGUCUUUUUCCCCCUCCCCCAACCAAACCACUCAGGUCCUACCUGCUCUUUCCCGGCUUGAUGCGGGCGUGUUUUCCUGUAUGUAUUUUUUCGUGCGGCCACAAAAAGCAUCAGCUGGGGUUCCCGAAGGUCAGAAAAUGGCUAUUGAUUAAUCUACUAGAAUAGUUGCCGAGAGAAAUAAAAACGACGUAAAAUAGCAGGGAACCUAUAAAUAAAGAAGCCAUAACUGGCUACUUGGAGUUGUUAAACGACUUAGCAUAUGAAAAAAUCGGAAAUGAGGCGCUGGGGAAGGAGCUGGGAUUGGCAGCGGCCUGGGUAAGUCGAGUGGAUCCGGGAAGAGGCCUGGUGUCUUCAGGUGUGGACAAAUCCUCCAAGAUUUAACUUCCAAGAAAACCGGCGGCGGAGCGGGUGGAGGAGGCGAGGAUGUGUGGCCAAUGCACGCGGAGUGCAAGGCCGCCUAGUUGGGAGCCGCAAGAGCCUGCCUGGUGUGGCAGGCACACGGAACCCAAUCCCUGUCUGUCCGCUGCGGCCUGGGAGGGGAGCGCCGGCCUCACCAGAGGAAGGAGCACGAGGGGAGGAGUUCCGAGAGGAAAUAAUUAGUGAAAUAUUUGCAGAAGAUGCUGGGAUGUGGAUUUAAUUCCGGAUGGACAGUGGUGCUUCUGAUUCCCUCAGUCUGUUUCCCCACCCACGAUCUCCUCUUUCCUUGGCCUAGACACACCAAAAAUAAUUCAAUAAAAUAAAAAUAAAAAUUUAAAAAUCUGUAAACUUGCUUCAUUACAGGCAUUGAGACACACAGAUUGACUUUCAUCCCCAUUAGACAGUUUCCCAGGAUAUAACACUACUCAUCUGAGGCUGGGAGCAGGGUAGGGGGUGGUGACA